AUUCAGCGGCGGACGGGUGAGUAAUGCCUAGGAAUCUGCCUGGUAGUGGGGGAUAACGUCCGGAAACGGGCGCUAAUACCGCAUACGUCCUGAGGGAGAAAGUGGGGGAUCUUCGGACCUCACGCUAUCAGAUGAGCCUAGGUCGGAUUAGCUAGUUGGUGGGGUAAAGGCCAACCAAGGCGACGAUCCGUAACUGGUCUGAGAGGAUGAUCAGUCACACUGGAACUGAGACACGGUCCAGACUCCUACGGGAGGCAGCAGUGGGGAAUAUUGGACAAUGGGCGAAAGCCUGAUCCAGCCAUGCCGCGUGUGUGAAGAAGGUCUUCGGAUUGUAAAGCACUUUAAGUUGGGAGGAAGGGCAGUAAGUUAAUACCUUGCUGUUUUGACGUUACCAACAGAAUAAGCACCGGCUAACUUCGUGCCAGCAGCCGCGGUAAUACGAAGGGUGCAAGCGUUAAUCGGAAUUACUGGGCGUAAAGCGCGCGUAGGUGGUUCAGCAAGUUGGAUGUGAAAUCCCCGGGCUCAACCUGGGAACUGCAUCCAAAACUACUGAGCUAGAGUACGGUAGAGGGUGGUGGAAUUUCCUGUGUAGCGGUGAAAUGCGUAGAUAUAGGAAGGAACACCAGUGGCGAAGGCGACCACCUGGACUGAUACUGACACUGGGGUGCGAAAGCGUGGGGAGCAAACAGGAUUAGAUACCCUGGUAGUCCACGCCGUAAACGAUGUCGACUAGCCGUUGGGAUCCUUGAGAUCUUAGUGGCGCAGCUAACGCGAUAAGUCGACCG
rnacentral:rRNA from 1 species